GACGUAGGGCGCGAGCGUUGUCCGGAUUUAUUGGGCGUAAAGAGCUCGUAGGCGGCUCAUUGCGUCAACCGUGAAAACCAGCAGCUCAACUGUUGGCUUGCGGUUGAUACGGGUGGGCUGGAGUUCGGUAGGGGAGACUGGAAUUCCUGGUGUAGCGGUGAAAUGCGCAGAUAUCAGGAAGAACACCUAUGGCGAAGGCAGCUCUCUGGGACGGUACUGACGCUGAGACGCGAAAGCGUGGGGAGCGAACAGG
rnacentral:rRNA from 1 species